AGUGACGAUAGCCUAGGAGAUACACCUGUACCCAUGUCGAACACAGCAGUUAAGCCCUAGAACGCCUGAUGUAGUUGGGGGUUGCCCCCUGUGAGAUAAGGUAGUCGCUUAGCG
rnacentral:rRNA from 1 species